rfam:Felis catus isolate Cinnamon breed Abyssinian chromosome D3, whole genome shotgun sequence.
GCCUGGCUGGCUCAGUCUGUUAGGCAUCUGACUUCAGCUCAGGUCAUGGUCUCGUGGUUCGUGGGUUUAAGCCCCACAUCAGGCU